rnacentral:rRNA from 1 species
UACGUAGGGCGCGAGCGUUGUCCGGAAUUAUUGGGCGUAAAGAGCUCGUAGGCGGCCGGUUGCGUCUGCUGUGAAAUCCCGGGGCUUAACCCCGGGCGUGCAGUGGAUACGGGCCGGCUGGAGGCAGGCAGGGGAGAAUGGAAUUCCCGGUGUAGCGGUGAAAUGCGUAGAUAUCGUAAGGAAGACCAGUGGCGAAGGCGGGUCUCUGGACAGUUCCUGACGCUGAGGCACGAAGGUCAGGGGAGCAAACGGG